CCUACGGGAGGCAGCAGUGGGGAAUUUUGCGCAAUGGGCGAAAGCCUGACGCAGCAACGCCGCGUGGGUGAUGAAGGCCUUCGGGUCGUAAAGCUCUGUCAGAGGGGAAGAACCACCUGAAGGUUAAUAUCCUUCAGGCCUGACGGUACCCUCAAAGGAAGCACCGGCUAACUCCGUGCCAGCAGCCGCGGUAAU
rnacentral:rRNA from 1 species